rnacentral:rRNA from 1 species
GACGAACGCUGGCGGCGUGCUUAACACAUGCAAGUCGAACGCUGAAGACCUGGCUUUUGUUGGGUUGGAUGUGUGGCGAACGGGUGAGUAACACGUGAGUAACCUGCCCUCUUCUUUGGGAUAACGCCCGGAAACGGGUGCUAAUACUGGAUAUUCACUGGCCUUCGCAUGGGGGUUGGUGGAAAGGUUUGUUCUGGUGGGGGAUAGGCUCGCGGCCUAUAAGCUUGUUGGUGGGGUGAUGGCCUACCAAGGCAUUGACGGGUAGCCGGCCUGAGCUUGCGACCGGUCACAUUAGGACUAAGAUACGGCCCAGACACCUACGGGAGGCAGCAGUGGGGAAUAUUGCACAAUGUGCGAAAGCCUGAUGCAGCGACGCCGCGUGAGGAAUGGAGGCCUUGGGGUUGUAAACCUCGUUCGCUCAUGGUCAAGCCGCAACUGUGGGUUGUGGUGAGGGUAGUGUGUAAAGAAGCGCCGGCUAACUACGUG